GGAUGAUGUGAUUGCUGGAACUCCGCAGCCAUUAAGCAACCAUGAGGGAAAAGAACAAGAAGCCUUAUUUUGUCAGGCACCAGUGUUACCUGCCAAGCUGCUAGGGGAAGAAUCCUACCUGGAAGGCUCUCAUGGUUGGGAAGGAUGUGGGAGGAACCAACUCCUUCCGACCUCCCACAAACCCCACUUAGGACAUCUCCAGAAGGCUCCCCAUUACCACAGAGCCUCUCUCCCUAAUUGUUAGGAAGUGACAUCCAGCUCUACCAUCAUCUGCCUACAUCCAGCUCUACCAUCAUCAGCUUUCACCCACAGGUUGAAGUCCUCCUUUCUAGCGCUUCCCACGUUGCUCCUUUGAGUAGGAAGACCAGAAGAAGAAGAAGAAGAAGAAGAAGAAGAAGAAGAAGAAGAAGAAGAAGAAAAGCACGAAAGAGGAGAGGAACUCUUGGUUUAUUCGAUAAAUGCUGUUCGAGCCUCUAUGUUCUGUGCAUUGUGCAAGAUGGUGUGGACUGAGAGUUUGUCUCCGAGCCAGCAGCCACCCAGGGGACUUGCCAGAAAUGCUGAGUCACAGGCCCACUCGUCGGCAGAACACCUCGCUUCUUCGUCUGAAGUGUAUAAUUUCCUACCUAGCUCUCGAGGGGCACCUCAGUCAUCACGAAGAAAGCACGGGUACUACCGUGGGCAGUCAACCAUGAAAAGCCACAACCAGUGCUGUCAAGUUCCAUAAAAUGAAAGAGAAACCAAUUAGUCCAAGCGGAGAAGAGGCUGGCUGGGCCCCAGCACCUGUCGCAGACACUCCAUGCCUACACCCACCCAAACUGCAGUCUCUGCUCAGGCAAGCCCACUCUGCCUGGGCAUCUCCAGAUCUGCCUGGCAUGGACAGGGGGUCCCGGGGAGUCUCCAACCUCUCUCCUGAGAAUCCAUCUCGUCAGUACCUGGGACAGCAGUCUUGGCGGUCUCCCUUACGGAACUUCUAAAACAAGCCUCCAGACCUGCCAGUUGUCUGAAAAGUGAUCCAAUCAGAUUCUUGGCACUUUAUGCUUCCCAGGGGCUCCUGAGAAGUGCCUGUGCCCACAGGAAGAGAUAAAGGGUACAGACACAUGCAUGGACCCUACUCUGUUCCCUAACCGCUCCUGAACUUUCUCCAAGCAAACCUUAUUCUUGGGAGUGAUUGUUCUCUACCUGAGUGAUUCCAGGGAGAGUGAAUUUUAGGUAGAGUGCUUUAUGAAGCCUUAGUUGCAUUAAUAUGUCCACCCAGAAGUGUGGGCUCUCGGGGCGCUCCCUCUCAGGGACCCCCAAACUGCAUGGCGGGAGCUCUCUUGCAACCCUUCCUCUCUAUGAGGAAGACAUUUCAGGGCUCCAAGGUCAAUGUUAGGAGGCUGUGAGGCCAUGAUUCCCU